rnacentral:rRNA from 1 species
UACGUAGGGGGCAAGCGUUGUCCGGAAUUACUGGGCGUAAAGCGCCUGUAGGCGGGAACGUGCGUCGGACGUGAAAGGCGGGGGCUUAACCCCCCGAGCGGCGUUCGAAACGGCGUUUCUUGAGGGUCGAAGAGGAGCGUGGAAUUCCUGGUGUAGCGGUGAAAUGCGUAGAUAUCUGGGGGGAAGGCCGGCGGCGAAGGCGCUUUUUCUGGUUAGUACCUGACACUGAGGCACGAAAGCGUGGGGAGCAAACAGG